rnacentral:tRNA from 1 species
AAGGGUAUAGCUCAAGUGGUGGAGCGCAUGCUUAGCAUGCAUGAGGGCCUGGGUUCAAUUCCCAGUAUCUCCU